rnacentral:rRNA from 1 species
AUUGAACGCUGGCGGCAGGCCUAACACAUGCAAGUCGAACGAGUGGCGGACGGGUGAGUAAUGUCUGGGAAACUGCCUGAUGGAGGGGGAUCACUUCUGGAAACGGUAGCUAAUACCGCAUACCCUCAGAUGUGCCCAGAUGGGAUUCGCUAGUUGGUGGGGUAACGGCUCACCAAGGCGACGACCCCUAGCUGGUCUGAGAGGAUGACCAGCCAAACUGGAACUGAGACACGGUCCAGACUCCUACGGUAGGCAGCAGUGGGGAAUAUUGCACAAUGGGCGCAAGCAGGAUGCAGCCAUGCCGCGUGUAUGAAGAAGGCCUUCGGGUUGUAAAGUACUUUCAGCGGGGAGGCGUUACCCGCAGAAGAAGCACCGGCUAACUCCGUGCCAGCAGCCGCGGUAAUUC